AAGAACUUUAUCCAAUAAAAAGAUCCUGCGAAAAUCACCACUGCUCGUCUGUGCUGCCGGUAGGCGCCACGCCACCGUCGCCAUGGCCGCCCCCGUCUCCGCUUCCCUCUUGCCUCUCGGGAGGAGCGCACCUUCUUUCACUGGUCCGCACUACAAGAAUAAGAGAAGGAUUCCGAUGGUGCGGGUCUGCUGUGCUGCCGACGACGACGAGGAAGUCAACGAUUUGGGAGUCAGCGUGGCACUAUCGAUGCUAAAAUUCUACAAAAGAGAGAUAUCACCCUUGCUGCCUUCAAGCUGCCGUUAUGUGCCAACAUGCAGCGAGUACUCUAUGCAGGCGUACAAAAGAUAUGGUGUUGCGAAGGGUACAAUCUUGACAGCAUGGCGUCUGUGCCGUUGUAAUCCUCUUGCGUAGGUGCACAGGGAUAUGAUCCUCCCAGGUGGUUUGGGGAGGGAGAGUUACCUGAGGAAUGAUGGCUGGUAAUUACUAGAAACACUGCACAUAUGUUGGAAUGUCUCACAAGAUAUCAUCUCAUCGCAACUUCAUAAAGGAGGUAACUCGGGAGUGUUAGAGUUAUAAUAUAAGUCAUGUACCCCUUUGUAUUUAUCCCGUUGUAUAAGGGGUUUCCUGCAUAUGUUCCACACCUAUACAUGUAUAUAUAUCGGCCUAUGGCCUCAUGGGAAUACAAGUUGCUUAUUCCUAACAUGGUAU